rnacentral:rRNA from 1 species
CAUGUAGGCGGUUGUUUAAGUCUGAUAUGAAAGCCCUGGGCUCAACCCAGGAAGUGCAUUGGAUACUGGGCAACUUGAGUACGGGAGAGGAAAGUGGAAUUUCGAGUGUAGGGGUGAAAUCCGUAGAUAUUCGAAGGAACACCAGUGGCGAAGGCGGCUUUCUGGACCGAUACUGACGCUGAGAUGCGAAAGCGUGGGGAGCAAACA